rnacentral:rRNA from 1 species
AAAAGCUUUCUUUAAUUGAAUAAUUGAAUUUAAUUUUUUAGUGCAAAAGCAAAAAUAUAAAUUAGGGACAAGAAGACCCUAUGAAUUUUUUAUUAAAUUUUAUAAAUAGUUUUAUAAAAUUUAAUUUAAUUGGGGUGAUGAAAAAAGAAUAAAUAUCUUUUUUUUUUAAAGAAAAUUGGUUCCGUUUUUAGCGAUUAAAUGAAAAAAAUACUCUAGGGAUAACAGCGUAAUAAUUUUGGAUAGUUCAUAUAGAUAAAAUAGUUUGCGACCUCGAUGUUGGAUUAGGAUUCUUUUUUGGUGAAGAAGUUAAAAAAAGAAGUUUGUUCAACUUAUAAUUUCCUACUUGAUCUGAGUUCAGACCGG